ensembl:lncRNA
UUUUUUUUUUUUUUUUUUUCAUGUUUUACACCAAGGAAAGGAUGGUGCAUUUUAGAUGGAGCUCUAGCUACACAGCUGUGAUUAAAUGAAAAUCCAGUAGCAAUCACUCUGCUAGUCCCGAAAAAAAACACCGAACUAUUCAUGGAGAGCACCUGCUUUCUUUGCAAGGAAUGAGUCAUAAAACUUCUGUGCCAUGUCAAUUGUGUUUGCAAAAGGAAGAAAAAAACCUUUCACAGUCUCCCAUAUUCAAGAGAACAAACUAUGGAAGGUAUAUGGUCUGAGUCAAAGGUAAGGAAUGGUUAACCAUUAUUCAUGCUGAGCAGCAGGUCUCAUCAAAGAUGAGGUGUUAUGUCUGGCAUGUUGCGGGAGUUAACCAUUAACCUUCUGCCUAACAAAAGCCCCAUCAAACCUUCCCAGCCCUCCUGUCUGCAAACCAGACAGUGAAAAGGCAGGAAUGCCUCCUGUUUCUAAGGCUGCAGAUAUGGUUAAUCCCACAGCGAUGUUCUAUCAAUAAAGAAUAUCUCAGAAGUCAAGACCUCAACAUACAUACCCUUUGUCAGUUAUUCCUAAGAGGGUUCACCCUAAAAUACGGAAUUCUAGAAUGAAAAUCUCAAGAGAUGUACACCUUUUUAACCCUGACACGACAAAUGAGCUCUCACGGAGUCAAAUUUACUCUUCUCUGGGAUUUGGGAUUUUAGACAUUACCAUGAUUUUCACCACACUGAUUCCAUCAACUUUCUUUUUUCCGUUCAUUCAGUGCCAACCAGCAACAGAAUAGGAGGAAACAUCAUUUACUUUCCUCAUACGGCUGCUUUAGUUUAUCGGUCCCUUCUGAGUGUGCUAAGCUCAGCCACUAUGAGAUGGGUCAGCUUUGCGGGAAGGGGGGGGCUCACAGUCACUUCAAAUUGUCCUUCUUUACCUCCCUUGCCCUCAAAAUCUCACCUCGGAUUCCACAGAGUAGUGCUCGCAGGGUGAAAAAUGACCCGUCUACAUUGGGCAAAUAGCUAGAGAUCCUCUCAAUUUGUUUACACAGUUUCUGGGUAGUUUUAAACCUCACCCAGGACACAGGUACUCUGAGAAUGAACGAUAUGUUUUCUAAGCAGUUAAAGCCAGAAGCCAGGGUUCCUAUAGCACCAGCUUCUGAAGCUUUAACGGCUCCUGGAGUUAGGCUGCUUGGCAUUUCUGUGCAGAAGAGAACACACCAUCUUCUUGAGAAAAUUCUCUCAUACGACACCAAAGCAAGCUCACAGACUUCAAGCUACUAAAGAGUAAACUACAAAACAACAUCCAACAAGCACACGAAAAGAUGCUUAGCAUCCCUGGGCAUUGGAGAAAAUGAAAACCAAAACCACAAAGAGAUACCACCGCUGAGCCAUUCAGGUAGCACUAUCGAGAAACCAGAAGAUGACAAGUGUGGACAAGGAUGUGGAGAAAGAGGAACUCUUGGACACUGCUGAUGGAAAUGUAAAGUGGCAGAGCUGCUAAGAAAAACAGUGUAGCGGGUCCCCCCCAAAUUAAAAAUAGAACAACCGGAGGAUUCAGCAGUCCCACUUCUGGGUAUAUAACCAAAAGGAUCUCUGAGAAAUGUCUGCACACUCAUGUUCAUAGCAGCACUAUUUACAAAGUAAUACAAGUAAUGCAAGCAACCCAAGUGUUCAGCAGCAGGUAAAUGGAUAAACAAGAUAUACAGUGUGUGUGUGUGUAUAAAAUGAAACAUGAUUCAGCCUUAAAAAGGAAGGAAAUUCUGAUACGGCUACAACCCAAUCAACCUGGAGGACACUAUGCAAAGUGAAAUAAGCCAGUCACAAAAAGACAAAUACUGUAUGAUUCCACUUAUAGGAGGUAUCUAAAAUAGUCAAAUUCAUAGAAACAGAUGAGGGGUCACCAGGGGCUGGGGGAGAAAGAACGAUUGUUUAGUGAGCAUAGAGUUUCAAUUUCGCAAGAUGAAAGAGUGCCGGAGAUCCCUUGCACAAUAAUGUGGGUAUACUGGACACUACUGAACUGGAAACUGGAAAACGGUUAAAGCAGUAAUUUUGGUUUUUGUCAUAAAUUUUAGACAAUUUUAGAAAACAAACCAACCCCUGCCCCCACCCCCCCAAAACAAACAGGAUCAGUGGUUCAAACACCAAACUAAAGGGGUUUUAACUUUUGAAGUACAUCUAAUCUAUAUAUUUAACUAAAAAAUGAUCUUGUCUGGGACAGGAAACAGUAGAGAAACCUGAAAGGUAGUUGGGAAAAGCAGCAGAGCAGAGGCUGAAAACUGGCAGCCCAAGGGUGUAACACAGGCCCCCCAUAUUCAUUCAUUCAUCUGUUCAACGAGCACUUACUGAGCACCAACUAUAUGCCAUGCACUGUUCCAGAUGUUGUGACUAUGGCAGAAAACAGAUCAGAGACUGUGCUGACAUUCUCGGGGUUUUUUGACUCAGAGAGUUUUAUUUUAAAAUUUGAAUUUGUGGCCCCCAUUGAUAAACUAAGGUGUCUCACCCCCAAAAUAAUAAAUUUCCAUCAGCUCUUGAAAAACAAACACACACACACAAAAUCUGAUAGCAAUGGCCUGAAGUUCAGCCUAGCAACAAGGAGCUGGGGCUGGAGUGACUACCACACUGACAGGGGAAGGGCUCUCGGCACUGGCUCUGGUCCCCACCGCUCCCUGUGUCACUUCAUUCACUUGGUCUCCCUGCCUUCUUGUCUAGCCCCAAAGGCACUGAAUCUACAAUCUGCGCUGUAUUUUUGCGCCCAAGGUGCCAGGUCAGACUUCGAAGAGUCUGAAUUCCACAUCUGCUACUACCUAUGUGAUGUGAGUGAAACCCUCUGCCUCAGUGGCCACGGAGUGUCCUCAGUGUCCAUUUUCAUAGAAUAGCCUAUAAAAUGAAGUUAUAAUAAGGGUACUUACUUCAUAGGGUGCUCACAAAAAUUAAAUGCGACCACAUAUGCAAUGGGUCUAGUUCAGGCACAGAAUAACUCCUCAUUAAAUACUUGCCUUUUUAAAUUGUUUUUAUGGGUUUGUUUUUACUCGCAUCAUCGUCACCUAGAAAAACAAUUAAAACAUGCUGGGAAUUCCAGGACCCAUCCAGUUGGGAAAGACUCGCUUCUUGCACAACCCUCACCCCCAAUAAUUUAUCUUUUUUGUCCUUCUUUUAAAAAAAAAAA